rnacentral:lncRNA from 1 species
AAAAAUAAAUGGCAGAAAAAUAAAAUGGCAGAAAAUAAAUGGCAGAAAAUAAAACCCUAAUUAUUACAACGCUUUGGUGCAGUUACAUAAUAAAGAUGGCGAAAAGUAAAACUGAAAAUAUUACAAGUUAAAACUUAAAAUAUUACAAGGGCGAAGCAGUUACAGUGUAUGAAUAACAUAAAUAUGAGCGAAAAUAGGAAAUAAUAAUAAGGUUUGUUAAGGUUUAAGAAAAGGUUCAUGGUUUAGAGGAAACAACACGGUUAAAGUUUUAGGUUUGAAAUUUAGAGUUUGUGGCGAAAUUGUCAGGGUUUAGGAAAAAUCACGGUAGUUAGUUAUGAAAAAAAAUGUGCAGAUCUAAAUAUAUGUAU